rnacentral:rRNA from 1 species
UACGCACUCCUACGGGAGGCAGCAGUGGGGAAUAUUGCACAAUGGGCGCAAGCCUGAUGCAGCCAUGCCGCGUGUAUGAAGAAGGCCUUCGGGUUGUAAAGUACUUUCAGCAGUGAGGAAGGUGGGUAUGUUAAUAGCAUACUCAUUUGACGUUAGCUGCAGAAGAAGCACCGGCUAACUCCGUGCCAGCAGCCGCGGUAAUACGGAGGGUGCGAGCGUUAAUCGGAAUUACUGGGCGUAAAGCGCAUGCAGGUGGUUUGUUAAGUCAGAUGUGAAAGCCCGGGGCUCAACCUCGGAAUUGCAUUUGAAACUGGCAAACUAGAGUACUGUAGAGGGGGUAGAAUUUCAGGUGUAGCGGUGAAAUGCGUAGAGAUCUGAAGGAAUACCGGUGGCGAAGGCGGCCCCCUGGACAGAUACUGACACUCAGAUGCGAAAGCGUGGGGAGCAAACAGGAUUAGAUACCCUGGUAG